UGGAGCUUGGCAUGCAUCUAGUAUAGAAGGGACUCAAAGCGAGGAAACUCGACCCAUACUAGUUUUCUUACUUUGCAAGAAAGAUUGCCACUGAGUAUGACUCAUAUGUUGGCACACAGUUGAUUCUCACAGCCAGAAAGCAAGGCCUGCCACAUGGUGAAAAGAAGAGCUGUUGUCACCCAUCCCAAAGAGGUGUUAAAAGAUUCAAUUAAAUGCAGAAGUGCAGACACA